UACGGAGGGGGCUAGCGUUGUUCGGAAUUACUGGGCGUAAAGGGCGCGUAGGCGGACAGUUUAGUCAGAGGUGAAAGCCCAGGGCUCAACCUUGGAAUUGCCUUUGAUACUGGCUGUCUUGAGUUCGGGAGAGGUGAGUGGAAUGCCGAGUGUAGAGGUGAAAUUCGUAGAUAUUCGGCGGAACACCAGUGGCGAAGGCGACUCACUGGCCCGAUACUGACGCUGAGGCGCGAAAGCGUGGGGAGCAAACAGG
rnacentral:rRNA from 1 species